rnacentral:rRNA from 1 species
UAGGGAAUCUUCCGCAAUGGACGCAAGUCUGACGGAGCAACGCCGCGUGAGUGAAGAAGGAUUUCGGUUCGUAAAACUCUGUUGUUAGAGAAGAACAGCGCAUAGAGUAUCUGUUAUGCGUGUGACGGUAUCUAACCAGAAAGCCACGGCUAACUACGUGCCAGCAGCCGCGGUAAUACGUAGGUGGCAAGCGUUGUCCGGAUUUAUUGGGCGUAAAGCGAGCGCAGGCGGUCAAUUAAGUCUGAUGUGAAAGCCCCCGGCUCAACCGGGGAGGGUCAUUGGAAACUGGUUGACUUGAGUGCAGAAGAGGAGAGUGGAAUUCCAUGUGUAGCGGUGAAAUGCGUAGAUAUAUGGAGGAACACCAGUGGCGAAGGCGACUCUCUGGUCUGUAACUGACGCUGAGGCUCGAAAGCGUGGGUAGCAAACAGG